rnacentral:rRNA from 3 species
AUCUCGGCUCUCGCAUCGAUGAAGAACGUAGCGAAAUGCGAUACUUGGUGUGAAUUGCAGAAUCCCGUGAACCAUCGAGUCUUUGAACGCAAGUUGCGCCCGAAGCCAUUAGGCCGAGGGCACGUCUGCCUGGGCGUCACGCAUCGCGUCGCCCCCCGCAC